rnacentral:rRNA from 1 species
UACGUAGGUGGCAAGCGUUAUCCGGAAUUAUUGGGCGUAAAGCGCUCGCAGGCGGUUUCUUAAGUCUGAUGUGAAAGCCCACGGCUCAACCGUGGAGGGUCAUUGGAAACUGGGAGACUUGAGUGCAGAAGAGGAGAGUGGAAUUCCACGUGUAGCGGUGAAAUGCGUAGAGAUGUGGAGGAACACCAGUGGCGAAGGCGACUCUCUGGUCUGUAACUGACGCUGAGGAGCGAAAGCGUGGGGAGCGAACAGG